GACGAACGCUGGCGGCGUGCUUAACACAUGCAAGUCGAACGGAAAGGCCCUGCUUUUGUGGGGUGCUCGAGUGGCGAACGGGUGAGUAACACGUGAGUAACCUGCCCUUGACUUUGGGAUAACUUCAGGAAACUGGGGCUAAUACCGGAUAGGAGCUCCUGCUGCAUGGUGGGGGUUGGAAAGUUUCGGCGGUUGGGGAUGGACUCGCGGCUUAUCAGCUUGUUGGUGGGGUAGUGGCUUACCAAGGCUUUGACGGGUAGCCGGCCUGAGAGGGUGACCGGCCACAUUGGGACUGAGAUACGGCCCAGACUCGUACGGGAGGCAGCAGUGGGGAAUAUUGCACAAUGGGCGGAAGCCUGAUGCAGCAACGCCGCGUGCGGGAUGACGGCCUUCAGGUUGUAAACCGCAUUCGCCUGUGACGAAGCGUGAGUGACGGUAAUGGGUAAAGAAGCACCGGCUAACUACGUG
rnacentral:rRNA from 1 species